rnacentral:ncRNA from 18 species
AAUCAAUAGGGAAGCAACGAAGCAUAGCCUUUAUAUGGACACUUGGGUUAUGUGGAGCUACUAGUGUAACCGGCCCUCCUUUAA